GGUGGUUCUCAGGUGAUGCAACCCGUAAUUGGGCUCCCUCCUCUCUGGUUCCGGGGUGCGUCAUCCGAGAAACACC
rfam:Myotis lucifugus cont2.20435, whole genome shotgun sequence.